rnacentral:rRNA from 1 species
UGUCUUUAUGGAGGUUUAUAAAGUCUAACCUGCCCAUUGGGAACUAAAAGGCCGCGGUAUUAUGACCGUGCAAAGGUAGCAUAAUCAUUAGUUUUUUAAUUGAAGGCUAGAAUGAAUGGUUGGACAAGAAAUAAUCUGUCUUAAAUUAAUAUAUUGAAUUUAACUUUUAAGUGAAAAGGCUUAAAUAAUCUGGAGGGACGAUAAGACCCUAUAAAACUUUAUAUUUAUAAUAUAGUAGUUAGUUUUAUUUAAGGGUAUUAUUUUAGAGUAUUUGGUUGGGGUGACAAGGAUAAAAUAUUAAAUAACUGUCUUUUUUUUUUACAGUGAUGUUUGGUUUAAUGAUCCUAAAAGGGAUUAAAGAUUAAGUUACUUUAGGGAUAACAGCGUAAUUUUCUUUAAGAGUUCUUAUCGACAAGAAAGUUUGCGACCUCGAUGUUGAAUUAAAAGUUCUUUAUAGAGUAGAGACUAUAAUAGAAGGUCUGUUCGACCUUUAAAAUUUUACAUGAUUUGAGUUCAAACCGG